rnacentral:lncRNA from 1 species
GAAAUUGGUUAUCGUGGGAUAUUUAAAAUAAAACAAAGAACAGUUUACUUUCAGGCAAAAAGAUGCCAGUAAUCAAUAUUGAGGACCUGACAGAAAAGGACAAAUUGAAGAUGGAAGUUGACCAGCUCAAGAAAGAAGUGACACUGGAAAGAAUGCUAAUCCCAGCCAGGCACCUUCAAAACCAAUCCCUUAUGGACUACUGAAUUAAGGACAGCAAGUUACACCUCUGUUCCUGUCAUCUGGGUGAAGCCAAAAGUAGUGACUUUUAGAGAGAGAGUGUGGGACCACUGAGGAAGAGGGAAAAAAGUGAAUCUAAAUUAAUGCAUAUUUCAAAAGUUAUGUGAAUCUGCAAGUAUCAUCCUUUGAAGGAAGAAACUAACCUGACAAAUGCUUCCUGGCUCCAGUUGAAAAUAAUUUGUUUUACUAUGUAAUUAAUGAGUCUGCCUAGUUAUAAAAUAAUCUUAAGUCUUAUAUCAAAUGUUCCUUGGAAUUUACAUAAAAGCGGACUAAAGAUUUCAUUUGAAAAAAAAAAAAACAGUAAAUUGGUUAAAUGACUUAUGGAAUGGCCACUUAAUAGACUGACAAAAAUAAAGUAGCUUAGUGUUACUGUCAUGAAAGAUACACUAACUGAAAACAAACAAGUUGAAGCUAAAAGAGUUUGAAUAAUUUGAUUUCGUGUGUAUGUAUAUAUAUGUAUAUUUAUAUAUGUAUAGAACAUCACCUCUCUCUAC